rnacentral:rRNA from 1 species
AUUGAACGCUGGCGGCAUGCUUUACACAUGCAAGUCGAACGGUAACAGGCCGCAAGGUGCUGACGAGUGGCGAACGGGUGAGUAAUGCAUCGGAGCGUGCCCAGUCGUGGGGGAUAACGCAGCGAAAGCUGCGCUAAUACCGCAUACGAUCUAUGGAUGAAAGCGGGGGACCGUAAGGCCUCGCGCGAUUGGAGCGGCCGAUGUCAGAUUAGGUAGUUGGUGGGGUAAAGGCUCACCAAGCCGACGAUCUGUAGCUGGUCUGAGAGGACGACCAGCAAGAGUGGGACUGAGACACGGCCCAGACUCCGACGGGAGGCAGCAGUGGGGAAUUUUGGACAAUGGGCGCAAGCCUGAUCCAGCAAUGCCGAGUGCAGGAAGAAGGCCUUCGGGUUGUAAACUGCUUUUGUACGGAACGAAAAGGCUCUGGUUAAUACCUGGGGCUCAUGACGGUACCGAAAGAAUAAGCACCGGCUAACUACGUGCCAGCCGCCGCAGUAAAAC